AUUGAACGCUGGCGGCAGGCUUAACACAUGCAAGUCGAACGAGUGGCGGACGGGUGAGUAAUGCUUGGGAAACUGGCUUAUGGAGGGGGAUAACUACUGGAAACGGUGGCUAAUACCGCUUACAUUCGUAUGUGCCAAGUUGGGAUUAGUUUUUUGUUUGGGUAAAGGCUCACCAAGGCGACGAUCCCUAGCUGGUCUGAGAGGAUGACCAGCCACAAUGGAACUGCGACACGGCCCAGACUCCGACGGGAGGCAGCAGUGGGGAAGAGUGCACAAUGGGCGAAAGCCUGAUGCAGCCAUGCCGCGUGUAUGAAGAAGGCCUUAGGGUUGUAAAGUACGUUCAGCGGGGAGGCGUUACCCGCAGAAGAAGCACCGGCUAACUCCGUGCCAGCAGCCGCGGUAAUAC
rnacentral:rRNA from 1 species